rnacentral:lncRNA from 1 species
GGACUCUCUUCUCUGAAACUUGUAGCUUUAUUUUGUCAAGCCUUUGAAAUAGCUUUGUGCGUCCCUCUCUGGACUGUGGGGAGUAAUCUACAUACGCGCUUCCCCUGGUCCUGCUUCUCUCUCACUCUGCAGAUUCUCCUGUCUUCAAGCAGUAAGCGUGGGGUUUAAUCCAAGGUUGUGCAGUCCAGUGAGGCUUGGAGCUGUGUGUGGGCAUGUUUCCCUGAAGGAGUUGCCAGUGAAAUAUGUACUUCUGAGUUGACUGCAGUGCUUCUUGCUAGAGCAUACCUGUCAAGAGGAUGAAUGAAUAGCAUGGAGUUCAGUGCUGUUCAGAGGAAUUGAUGUGGGUUUCUGAGGCAGGACAACCAACCAUGCAGUCAGCUGGCGUUCAUGUGAGUAUGUUUUUCUCUUGAUGACAAACAGAAUAUCCUCAGAGGUUUCCAGACAAUCAUUAAUACUAAAUAAAAC